rnacentral:rRNA from 1 species
UACGGAGGGUGCAAGCGUUAUCCGGAUUUACUGGGUUUAAAGGGUGCGCAGGCGGAUUUGUAAGUCAGUGGUGAAAGCCUGGAGCUCAACUCCGGAACUGCCAUUGAUACUGCAAACCUUGAGUACAGUUGAGGUGGGCGGAAUGCAGCAUGUAGCGGUGAAAUGCUUAGAUAUGCUGCAGAACACCGAUUGCGAAGGCAGCUCGCUAAACUGUAACUGACGCUGAGGCACGAAAGCGUGGGGAGCGAACAGG